CUGGGGAUAUAGCUCAGUUGGUAGAGCUUGCCUUAUAUGCCCAAGGCCCUGGGUUCAAUCCCCAGCACCAGG
rnacentral:tRNA from 1 species